rnacentral:hammerhead_ribozyme from 1 species
AUGCAUCUAACGAGUUCCAAAUAGGACGAAACGCGCGUCCCGGAU